UCCUAUUUAAAAACAAGGAUUUAGUGCAUCUUAAUAAUUAAUCUCACGAUAAAACCCUUUUUUUUUCUUUCUCUAGGUCUUCUUCUCUCUCGACCAAACGAUGGCGCCCCUAUCCCUGCUUGACAUGCGUGAAAUAUGCGUCUUAUGGAACGUCGAGGAAUGCCCAAACUGAGACAAAAGAUUUCAGGGUGCGGUUAAUGCCUUCUUGGCUUAUACUGAUACCCAACCUUCGCCUGAGUUGAUGGAUGGGAUGCCGACCUUCCUAACCAAAGGAGAUAAAGAUACAAUAGCUAAUGUACAUACUUCAUUCACACCUUACAGUACUUCUAGAGAUUUUGUUGGUCAACAAAUGUACUGUUUUAUUUUGGUUUGUCUUUGAAUGGGAAAUAUUCUGUUUUUAGCUACAAGCGUUGGUUAAUUCAAAUGAUGCUUCUUGUAUAAUAUUUGUUGUGAUAUGUUGUAUGAGAGCUGAGAUUUUCAUAAUUGUGUUGGUUUUAAUUAUAUAAAGAUGGAUCAUAUGCUUCUGA